AUUGAACGCUGGCGGCAUGCCUUACACAUGCAAGUCGAACGGCAGCACGGGAGCUUGCUCCUGGUGGCGAGUGGCGAACGGGUGAGUAAUGCAUCGGAACGUGCCCUGAAGUGGGGGAUAACGUAGCGAAAGUUACGCUAAUACCGCAUAUUCUGUGAGCAGGAAAGCAGGGGAUCUUCGGACCUUGCGCUUUUGGAGCGGCCGAUGUCGGAUUAGCUAGUUGGUGGGUAAAGGCCCACCAAGGCGACGAUCCGUAGCGGGUCUGAGAGGAUGAUCCGCCACACUGGAACUGAGACACGGCCCAGACUCCUACGGGAGGCAGCAGUGGGGGAAUUUUUGGACAAUGGGCGCAAGCCUGAUCCAGCCAUGCCGCGUGAGUGAAGAAGGCCU
rnacentral:rRNA from 1 species